CCGCCUACGGGAGGCAGCAGUGGGGAAUAUUGCACAAUGGGGGGAACCCUGAUGCAGCGACGCCGCGUGGGUGAAGAAGUCAUUCGUGACGUAAAGCCCUAUCAGCAGGGAAGAAAAUGACGGUACCUGACUAAGAAGCCCCGGCUAACUACGUGCCAGCAGCCGCGGUAAUACGUAGGGGGCAAGCGUUAUCCGGAUUUACUGGGUGUAAAAGGGGCGCAGACGGCCAUGGCAAGCCCGGUGUGAAAGGCAGGGGCAUAACCCCUGGACUGCACUGGGAACUGUCAGGCUGGAGUGCCGGAGGG
rnacentral:rRNA from 1 species